UACGAAGGGUGCAAGCGUUACUCGGAAUUACUGGGCGUAAAGCGUGCGUAGGUGGUGCGUUAAGUCUGUCGUGAAAGCCCCGGGCUCAACCUGGGAAUGGCGAUGGAUACUGGCGCGCUAGAGUGCGGUAGAGGAGAGUGGAAUUCCCGGUGUAGCAGUGAAAAUGCGUAGAGAUCGGGAGGAACAUCAGUUGCGAAGGCGGCUCUCUGGACCAGCACUGACACUGAGGCACGAAAAGCGUGGGGGAGCAAAACAGGG
rnacentral:rRNA from 1 species